CCUACGGGCGGCUGCAGUGGGGAAUAUUGGACAAUGGGGGCAACCCUGAUCCAGCCAUGCCGCGUGUGUGAAGAAGGCCCUCGGGUUGUAAAGCACUUUCAGUGAGGAAGAACGCCUGGUGGUUAAUACCCUUCAGGAAAGACAUCACUCACAGAAGAAGCACCGGCUAACUCCGUGCCAGCAGCCGCGGUAAUACGGAGGGUGCGAGCGUUAAUCGGAAUUACUGGGCGUAAAGCGCGCGUAGGUGGCUUGAUAAGCCGGUUGUGAAAGCCCCGGGCUCAACCUGGGAACGGCAUCCGGAACUGUCAAGCUAGAGUGCAGGAGAGGAAGGUAGAAUUCCUGGUGUAGCGGUGAAAUGCGUAGAGAUCGGGAGGAAUACCAGUGGCGAAGGCGGCCUUCUGGACUGACACUGACACUGAGGUGCGAAAGCGUGGGUAGCAAACAGGAUUAGAUACCCGGGUAGUC
rnacentral:rRNA from 1 species